UCCCGCCGGGCCCCGGGCAUUGCCCUCCGGCCGCCUAGCCGCCCGCCCGCCGGCGCCCCGCUGUCCGCUGCCAGCUGCCGCGGGAGCCAGAGAUGGAUUUGCAGCCGCUGCAAGUGUGUGGAAGGGCCGUGUUCGUGUUGGCAAAGAAGGUCGGCUGCUGAGCCAGGGCGUGUCUCCCGAAGGCCUGCAGACUGCCAGGAUCCCCACCUCUUUGCAAUGGGCUGCCCAGGCUGACCAGCCGGUUCCUGCUGGAAGCUCC
rnacentral:lncRNA from 1 species